AUGAACGCUGGCGGCGUGCCUAACCCAUGCAAGUCGAGCGGCAGCGAGGGGUGCUUGCACCCUGUCGGCGAGCGGCGGACGGCUGAGUAACGCGUGGGAACGUGCCCCAAAGUGAGGAAUAACUACCCGAAAGGGUAGCUAAUACCGCAUAUUAUCUUCGGAUCAAAGGAUUUAUCCGCUUUGGGAGCGGCUCGCGUCGGAUUAGGUAGUUGGUGAGGUAAUGGCUCACCAAGCCGACGAUCCGUAGCUGGUCUGAGAGGAUGACCAGCCAGACUGGAACUGAGACACGGUCCAGACUCCUACGGGAGGCAGCAGUGAGGAAUCUUCCACAAUGGGCGAAAGCCUGAUGGAGCAACGCCGCGUGCAGGACGAAGGCCUUCGGGUUGUAAACUGCUUUUAUAAGUGAGGAAUAUGACGGUAACUUAUGAAUAAGGAUCGGCUAACUACGUG
rnacentral:rRNA from 1 species